GGGGGCGACACGGCAUUCGACGUGGGUUACAAAACCUUAGGUGCAUGCCGAGGUGCAGAGUACCUCGUAAAUCCAUCUGCAAAACUAUAGUUGCCAACGACGACAACUACGCACUCGCCGCCUAAGAAACGGUAGAUUGCCAUCUGACUGGAGCCGUGCUUGUGCGUCCAGGUUUCAACUGCCAGCGGUGUUAAAACCAACGGUUGUGGCGAAACACUCAGGUGUCAUCUCUCACAAGAUCGCGAUGAAGCACGUUCGGGGUGGAUUCGUUAAAAACUUACCGAAAUCGCCGCAGUACGCGCCACGUUCGCCGGGCAGUACGCGGUUAAAUAUAAUAGGCGGACUAUGCAUGUAGAGCCGAAGGCAGAGGACUUGCGGACGCGGGUUCGACUCCCGCCGCCUCCACCA
rnacentral:tmRNA from 1 species